GACGAACGCUGGCGGCGUGCUUAACACAUGCAAGUCGAACGGUAAGGCCCUUCGGGGUACACGAGUGGCGAACGGGUGAGUAACACGUGGGUGAUCUGCCCUGCACUUCGGGAUAAGCCUGGGAAACUGGGUCUAAUACCGGAUAGGACUCCUGGCUUCAUGGUUGGGGGUGGAAAGCUUUUGCGGUGUGGGAUGGGCCCGCGGCCUAUCAGCUUGUUGGUGGGGUAAUGGCCUACCAAGGCGACGACGGGUAGCCGGCCUGAGAGGGCGACCGGCCACACUGGGACUGAGACACGGCCCAGACUCCUACGGGAGGCAGCAGUGGGGAAUAUUGCACAAUGGGCGAAAGCCUGAUGCAGCGACGCCGCGUGAGGGAUGACGGCCUUCGGGUUGUAAACCUCUUUCAGCAGGGAAGAAGCGCAAGUGACGGUACCUGCAGAAGAAGCACCGGCUAACUACGUGCCAGCCGCCGCCGUAA
rnacentral:rRNA from 1 species